UGAAAACUUAAAAUUUAAAAGACUUGACGGUACUUCACACCAACCUAGAGGAGCCUGUCCAAUAACCGAUAAUCCACGAUUAACCCAACCCAACCUAGCCUACAAUCAGUCUAUAUACCGCCGUCGCCAGCCUACCUUGUGAAAGCAAAAUAGUAAGCACAAUAGCACACACUAGUACGACAGGUCGAGGUGUAACUCAUGGUUGGGCACAAGAUGGGCUACAUUUCCUAACCCAGAAUAAACGGACAUACCUUGAAACAGGAAACUGAAGGAGGAUUUAGCAGUAAGAUAAGAACAUAAUGCUUACCCGAAAUUUGCAAUGAAGUACGU
rnacentral:rRNA from 1 species